rnacentral:rRNA from 1 species
AUUGAACGCUGGCGGUAUGCUUACACAUGCAAGUCGAACGGUAACAGGUCUUCGGAUGCUGACGAGUGGCGAACGGGUGAGUAAUGCAUCGGAACGUGCCCAGUCGUGGGGGAUAACGCAGCGAAAGCUGUGCUAAUACCGCAUACGAUCUAUGGAUGAAAGCGGGGGACCGUAAGGCCUCGCGCGAUUGGAGCGGCCGAUGUCAGAUUAGCUAGUUGGUGGGGUAAAGGCCCACCAAGGCGACGAUCUGUAGCUGGUCUGAGAGGACGACCAGCCACACUGGGACUGAGACACGGCCCAGACUCCUACGGGAGGCAGCAGUGGGGAAUUUUGGACAAUGGGCGCAAGCCUGAUCCAGCAAUGCCGCGUGCAGGAAGAAGGCCUUCGGGUUGUAAACUGCUUUUGUACGGAACGAAACGGUCUGGGUUAAUACCCUGGGCUAAUGACGGUACCGUAAGAAUAAGCACCGGCUAACUACGUGCCAGCCGCCGCGGUAAGAC